rnacentral:rRNA from 1 species
AUUGAACGCUGGCGGCAUGCCUUACACAUGCAAGUCGAACGGUAACAGGUCUUCGGAUGCUGACGAGUGGCGAACGGGUGAGUAAUACAUCGGAACGUGCCCGAUCGUGGGGGAUAACGGAGCGAAAGCUUUGCUAAUACCGCAUACGAUCUACGGAUGAAAGCAGGGGACCGCAAGGCCUUGCGCGGACGGAGCGGCCGAUGGCAGAUUAGGUAGUUGGUGGGAUAAAAGCUUACCAAGCCGACGAUCUGUAGCUGGUCUGAGAGGACGACCAGCCACACUGGGACUGAGACACGGCCCAGACUCCUACGGGAGGCAGCAGUGGGGAAUUUUGGACAAUGGGCGAAAGCCUGAUCCAGCCAUGCCGCGUGCAGGAUGAAGGCCUUCGGGUUGUAAACUGCGUUUGUACGGAACGAAAAGACUCUUUCUAAUAAAGAGGGUCCAUGACGGUACCGUAAGAAUAAGCACCGGCUAACUACGUG